CGGCAACAGCUCAAAUUUGAAAUCUGGCCUCGGCCCGAGUUGUAAUUUGUAGAGGAUGCUUUUGGCGCGGCGCCUUCCGAGUUCCCUGGAACGGGACGCCAUAGAGGGUGAGAGCCCCGUCCGGUCGGAUGCCUAGCCUCUGUAAAGCUCCUUCGAC
rnacentral:rRNA from 1 species